GACGAACGCUGGCGGCGCGCCUAACACAUGCAAGUCGAACGGAGCUGAGAGAAGCUUGCUUUUCUUAGCUUAGUGGCGAACGGGUGAGUAACGCGUGAGUAACCUGCCCUGGAGUGGGGGACAACAGUUGGAAACGACUGCUAAUACCGCAUAAGCCCACGAUCCGGCAUCGGAUUGAGGGAAAAGGAUUUAUUCGCUUCAGGAUGGACUCGCGUCCAAUUAGCUAGUUGGUGAGGUAACGGCCCACCAAGGCGACGAUUGGUAGCCGGACUGAGAGGUUGAACGGCCACAUUGGGACUGAGACACGGCCCAGACUCCUACGGGAGGCAGCAGUGGGGGAUAUUGCACAAUGGGGGAAACCCUGAUGCAGCGACGCCGCGUAGAGGAAGAAGGUUUUCGGAUUGUAAACUCCUGUCGUUAGGGACGAUAAUGACGGUACCUAACAAGAAAGCACCGGCUAACUACGUG
rnacentral:rRNA from 1 species